rnacentral:tRNA from 3 species
UACGGACUAAAAUCCGUUGGCUUUAAUAGACCUUGAGGGUUCAAGUCCCUCUACCCCCA